rnacentral:tRNA from 1 species
GCCUGGAUGAUGGAACUGGUAGACAUAAGGGACUUAAAAUCCCUUGGGGCUUCGCCCCGUGCGAGUUCGACCCUCGCUCCAGGCACCA